rnacentral:misc_RNA from 1 species
CCGAGUUUACAACUCCCAAACCCAUGUGAACAUACCCCAAUGUUGCUUCGGCGGACUCCCCGCCCCCCGACCUCCGGGUCGGGAGCUAACCGGGACCAGGCCCGCCAGAGGUACCCCUAAACUCUUGUCUUCAGUAUAUGUACUUCUGAGUGCAAACCAAAAUAAAUCA